rnacentral:rRNA from 1 species
UGGGGAAUAUUGCACAAUGGGCGCAAGCCUGAUGCAGCCAUGCCGCGUGUAUGAAGAAGGCCUUCGGGUUGUAAAGUACUUUCAGUCGGGAGGAAGGUGUCAAGGUUAAUAACCUUGGCAAUUGACGUUACCGACAGAAGAAGCACCGGCUAACUCCGUGCCAGCAGCCGCGGUAAUACGGAGGGUGCAAGCGUUAAUCGGAAUUACUGGGCGUAAAGCGCACGCAGGCGGUUGAUUGAGUCAGAUGUGAAAUCCCCGGGCUUAACCCGGGAAUUGCAUCUGAUACUGGUCAGCUAGAGUCUUGUAGAGGGGGGUAGAAUUCCAUGUGUAGCGGUGAAAUGCGUAGAGAUGUGGAGGAAUACCGGUGGCGAAAGCGGCCCCCUGGACAAAGACUGACGCUCAGGUGCGAAAGCGUGGGGAGCAAACAGG